GACGAACCGUGCAAACGUUGUUCGGAAUCACUGGGCUUAAAGGGCGCGUAGGCGGGCAAGCAAGUCGAAGGUGAAAUCCCACGGCUCAACCGUGGAAGUGCCCCCGAUACUGCUUGUCUUGAGGGAGAUAGGGGCGUGCGGAACUUCCGGUGGAGCGGUGAAAUGCGUAGAUAUCGGAAGGAACACCGGUGGCGAAAGCGGCGCGCUGGAUCUCUUCUGACGCUGGAGGCGCGAAAGCCAGGGGA
rnacentral:rRNA from 1 species